rnacentral:rRNA from 1 species
GCAGUCGAGCGGUAACAGAAAUUAGCUUGCUAAUUUGCUGACGAGCGGCGGACGGGUGAGUAAUGCCUGGGAAUAUGCCUUAGUGUGGGGGAUAACUAUUGGAAACGAUAGCUAAUACCGCAUAAUGUCUUCCGACCAAAGAGGGGGAUCUUC